UACUCCUACGGGGAGGCAGCAGUGGGGAAUAUUGCACAAUGGGGGAAACCCUGAUGCAGCCAUGCCGCGUGUGUGAAGAAGGCCUUCGGGUUGUAAAGCACUUUCAGUAGGAGGAAGGUAGUGUAGUUAACACCUGCAUUAUUUGACGUUACCUACAGAAGAAGCACCGGCUAACUCCGUGCCAGCAGCCGCGGUAAUACGGAGGGUGCGAGCGUUAAUCGGAAUUACUGGGCGUAAAGCGCAUGCAGGCGGCCUGUUAAGUCAGAUGUGAAAGCCCGGGGCUUAACCUCGGAAUUGCAUUUGAAACUGGCAGGCUAGAGUCUUGUAGAGGGGGGUAGGAAUUUCAGGUGUAGCGGUGAAAUGCGUAGAGAUCUGAAGGAAUACCAGUGGCGAAGGCGGCCCCCUGGACAAAGACUGACGCUCAGAUGCGAAAGCGUGGGGAGCAAACAGGAUUAGAUACCCUGGUAG
rnacentral:rRNA from 1 species